AUAUGGGGCUCGGCCAAAACCCAUUUGCUAUCUGGGUAUCGGGUCUGUCCAUUUUUCCCACUCUCAAAUCUUGAUUCGUAAGAAACCUGAAAAUAAUUGGGGACACUGUGCCUCAGCUGUAACAGGAAAACCCCACAGGCUCUCUUCUGUUCGCUUUUGGGUUUCUUCGAAGGAGUUUUGGUCUGUUGAAAUGUGUAACUAUCAACCUUGGGAAGAGGAUUCACUUCAAAGUGAAGAUUAUGUACAAAGUACUGCAGAAGGUGUAGAUGUAGCGGAGACAAGGUGGGGAGCCCGGCUGGCAAUGUUGGAAGCAAGGGUAACUCGAGUGGAGGCUAGGGUGGAAAGACUUGAGGCAAAGAUGCUUCAUCUGCAGAAGGGAAUGCGUGUUGUUUGUGCGCUGUUUCUGGUUACUCUCAUGUAUGCAAUAUUCAAGUAAAUGUCAUUGUCAGGGAUGAUCAGAUCGUUAGUUUUCAGUUGUAUGCUCUAUAUUUCUGUGAGACAUAGAUAGUUGGGCAUAUGCUGAUUCUCUGAUCUGUUGAGUUUUCUUGCAAGUAAUGGUAGGUUUGGAAAAUGGUUUUUUAUUUUAUUUUCCUUUUUCCCUCUUAUGAUGCUGUAGAACUACAUUUUAGCCAGGCAAAAACAGACCAAAGGUCCUUGAAUCAAUUUGUACAUUGAAUUCUACUGUCAUGAUCUGUCAAUCUGUGUAUCAAGAUUUCACUGUUAUUGUUAGUCUGUUUAUCAAGCUAA